CCAGACUCCUACGGGAGGCAGCAGUGAGGAAUAUUGGUCAAUGGCCGAGAGGCUGAACCAGCCAAGUCGCGUGAGGGAAGACGGCCCUACGGGUUGUAAACCUCUUUUGUCGGGGAGCAAAGCGAGUCACGUGUGACUCAUUGAGAGUACCCGAAGAAAAAGCAUCGGCUAACUCCGUGCCAGCAGCCGCGGUAAUACGGAGGAUGCGAGCGUUAUCCGGAUUUAUUGGGUUUAAAGGGUGCGCAGGCGGAAGAUCAAGUCAGCGGUAAAAUUGAGAGGCUCAACCUCUUCGAGCCGUUGAAACUGGUUUUCUUGAGUGAGUGAGAAGUAUGCGGAAUGCGUGGUGUAGCGGUGAAAUGCAUAGAUAUCACGCAGAACUCCGAUUGCGAAGGCAGCAUACCGGCGCUCAACUGACGCUCAUGCACGAAAGUGUGGGUAUCGAACAGGAUUAGAUACCCUUGUAU
rnacentral:rRNA from 1 species